rnacentral:rRNA from 1 species
GGUCAAGCGAAUAAGUGCAUGUGGUGGAUGCCUUGGCGAUCACAGGCGAUGAAGGACGUAGUAGCUUGCGAAAAGCUGCGGGGAGCUGGCAAACGAGCUUUGAUCCGCAGAUGUCCGAAUGGGGAAACCCGGCCCGUAUGGGUCAUCCCUUGCUGAAUACAUAGGCAAGGGAGGCGAACGCAGUGAACUGAAACAUCUAAGUAGCUGCAGGAAAAGAAAUCAACCGAGAUUCCCAGAGUAGUGGCGAGCGAAAUGGGAACAGCCUUGUACUCUUUAGCAGUAUUGUUAGCGGAACGGAAUGGAAAGUCCGGCCAUAGUGGGUGAUAGCCCCGUACGCGAAAACAGUAUUGUGGAACUAGGUGUACGACAAGUAGGGCGGGACACGUGAAAUCCUGUCUGAAGAUGGGGGGACCAUCCUCCAAGGCUAAAUACUCGUGAUCGACCGAUAGUGAACCAGUACCGUGAGGGAAAGGCGAAAAGAACCCCGGGAGGGGAGUGAAAUAGAUCCUGAAACCGCAUGCAUACAAACAGUCGGAGCCUGGAAACGGGUGACGGCGUACCUUUUGUAUAAUGGGUCAGCGACUUACAUUCAGUGGCAAGCUUAACCGAUUAGGGAAGGCGUAGCGAAAGCGAGUCCGAAUAGGGCGUUCAGUCGCUGGGUGUAGACCCGAAACCAAGUGAUCUAUCCAUGGCCAGGUUGAAGGUGCGGUAACACGUACUGGAGGACCGAACCCACUAACGUUGAAAAGUUAGGGGAUGAGCUGUGGAUAGGGGUGAAAGGCUAAACAAACUUGGAAAUAGCUGGUUCUCUCCGAAAACUAUUUAGGUAGUGCCUCGUGUCUCACCUUCGGGGGUAGAGCACUGUCAUGGUUGGGGGGUCUAUUGCUGAUUACCCCGCCAUAGCAAACUCCGAAUACCGAAGAGUGCAAUCACGGGAGACAGACAUCGGGUGCUAACGUCCGGUGUCAAGAGGGAAACAACCCAGACCGCCAGCUAAGGUCCCUAAGAUUGGCUAAGUGGGAAACGAAGUGGGAAGGCUAAAACAGUCAGGAGGUUGGCUUAGAAGCAGCCACCCUUUAAAGAAAGCGUAAUAGCUCACUGAUCGAGUCGUCCUGCGCGGAAGAUGUAACGGGGCUAAGCCAGUCACCGAAGCUGCGGAUGCACGUAAGUGCAUGGUAGGAGAGCGUUCUGUAAGCCUGUGAAGGUGUCUUGUAAAGGAUGCUGGAGGUAUCAGAAGUGCGAAUGCUGACAUGAGUAGCGAUAAAGGGGGUGAAAGGCCCCCUCGCCGUAAGCCCAAGGUUUCCUACGCAACGUUCAUCGGCGUAGGGUGAGUCGGCCCCUAAGGCGAGGCAGAGAUGCGUAGCUGAUGGGAAGCAGGUUAAUAUUCCUGCACCGUCGUAUGAUGCGAUGGGGGGACGGAUCGCGGAAGGUUGUCCGGGUGUUGGAAGUCCCGGUCCCUACAUUGGAGAUGGCACUUAGGCAAAUCCGGGUGCGUGAUUCAAGGGUGUGGGGCGAGCGACGUUAGGUCGCGAAGCAAUUGGAAGUGGUUCCAAGAAAAGCCUCUAAGCUUCAGUCAUACGAGACCGUACCGCAAACCGACACAGGUGGGCGAGAUGAGUAUUCUAAGGCGCUUGAGAGAACUCGGGAGAAGGAACUCGGCAAAUUGGUACCGUAACUUCGGGAUAAGGUACGCCCUUGUAGUUUGACUGGCUCGCGCCAGAAGGAUGAAGGGGUUGCAAUAAAAUGGUGGCUGCGACUGUUUAAUAAAAACACAGCACUCUGCAAACACGAAAGUGGACGUAUAGGGUGUGACGCCUGCCCGGUGCCGGAAGAUUAAAUGAUGGGGUGCAAGCUCUUGAUUGAAGUCCCGGUAAACGGCGGCCGUAACUAUAACGGUCCUAAGGUAGCGAAAUUCCUUGUCGGGUAAGUUCCGACCUGCACGAAUGGCGUAACGAUGGCCACACUGUCUCCUCCCGAGACUCAGCGAAGUUGAAGUGUUUGUGAUGAUGCAAUCUCCCCGCGGCUAGACGGAAAGACCCCAUGAACCUUUACUGUAGCUUUGCAUUGGACUUUGAACCGAUCUGUGUAGGAUAGGUGGGAGGCUUUGAAACCGGGACGCUAGUUUCGGUGGAGCCGACCUUGAAAUACCACCCUGGUUUGUUUGAGGUUCUAACCUUGGCCCGUGAAUCCGGGUCGGGGACAGUGCAUGGUAGGCAGUUUGACUGGGGCGGUCUCCUCCCAAAGUGUAACGGAGGAGUUCGAAGGUACGCUUGGUACGGUCGGACAUCGUACCUAAAGUGCAAUGGCAAAAGCGUGCUUAACUGCGAGACCGACAAGUCGAGCAGGUGCGAAAGCAGGACAUAGUGAUCCGGUGGUUCUGUAUGGAAGGGCCAUCGCUCAACGGAUAAAAGGUACUCUGGGGAUAACAGGCUGAUACCGCCCAAGAGUUCAUAUCGACGGCGGUGUUUGGCACCUCGAUGUCGGCUCAUCUCAUCCUGGGGCUGUAGCCGGUCCCAAGGGUAUGGCUGUUCGCCAUUUAAAGAGGUACGUGAGCUGGGUUUAAAACGUCGUGAGACAGUUUGGUCCCUAUCUGCCGUGGGCGUUGGAAUCUUGACGGGGGCUGCUCCUAGUACGAGAGGACCGGAGUGGACGUACCGCUGGUGUACCUGUUGUCUCGCCAGAGGCAUCGCAGGGUAGCUAUGUACGGAAGAGAUAACCGCUGAAAGCAUCUAAGCGGGAAACUCGCCUGAAGAUGAGGAUUCCCUGGAGACUUGAUCUCCCUGAAGGGUCGUUCGAGACCAGGACGUUGAUAGGCUGGGUGUGGAAGCGCAGUAAUGCGUUCAGCUAACCAGUACUAAUUGCCCGUGCGGCUUGAUCCU